UUACAAGGAAAAGCAUUUUCAAGCAAACAAUUGUAUUCCAAAUCAGAUAAUAAAACUGGGACUAAUCUAAUUCCACUCAAAAAUCACUGUCAAUUCCAAAUAAGACAGAUGUCAAACCAAAUGCCAAAAUGUCGAUUGAAGCAAGGCUUUUGAUGGCUAAAGAACAGCAUGGAUUUUGAAGGGACUACGUUUUAGCCGGUCAAGAAUCAACAAACAGGCAAGGUGCACACUCAGUGUAAGGUUGGAGGUACCUUUAGAUUUUACUGCUAAUGCCUUGCCUCGUCUAUAGGAAGUAAGGCAAAGAGCAUAAUGAAGGUCACAAAGAUAUGUUUGCUCUUUGAUGGGGACCAUAUACUCUCAAAAAAUGGACUUACCUUGCUGAUGGUUUAGGUAUUAAUCUAAGAAUUGAUUUCAAUGACAGGUUGAUAUUUGUCUUUUA